UGCUGAUGAAGGCAGAUGGAUGGGUGGCACAGUGGAUCUUCAACAUGGCAGCCCUUUCAUGAAAAGGCCAAAUAUUGUUUCUAGCAAAGAUGACCUUGUCACUGCAAACUCCAACAUAGUGGUUAUCACAGCAGGCGCAUGCCAGAUAUAAGGAGAAACGGGCCUUGAUUUAAUCCAGCGAAAUGUGUCCAUGUUUAAAUGAAUGAUUCCCAGUGUUAUCCAGAGUAGUCACCGCUGCAAGCUGAUUACGGUUUCCAAUCCAGCGGAUGCCUCAACUUAUGUAGCCUGGAAGUCGAGUGCAUUGCCCCAAAACCGUGUUAUUGGGAGUGACUGUCAUCUGGAAACUGCCCAUUUGAUUCUUGACUGGCAGAGCCUUGACAUCCAUUCUGAAAGCUGUCGUGGGUCGGUCCUUGGAGAGCAUGGAGACUUGAGUGUUCCUGUGUGAGUGGAUCUGCUGAAGGAUCUGCUCAGAUAGAGGAACUGAUAAAGAUCCUGAGAGGUGGGAAAACGUCCACAAAGCAGUAGCUGCCAGUGGUUAUGAGAUGAUUAAAAAGAAAGGACACACUUCUUGGAGUGCUGCUCUAUCUGUAGCUGAUUUGGCAAAGUGUUUUGGAGAAUCGCAGAGUGCAUCCAGUUUGCACCGUAAGUAAGAGCCUCUCUGGAAUAAAAGAAGUAUUCCUUAGUGUUCCUCAUAUGCGGGGAGAGAACGGUGUUACAAAUCUCACGAAGGUAAAGGUGACCCCUGAAGAGGAGUCUUGUUUGGAAAAGUGCAGAAACUCUUUGGGAAAUUCAGAAGGAGCUCAAGCUUUAAAUAAAGUUACUUGAGGCCGCCAUUCUGAAGUUCUGCAAGAAGAGACAGUGGUUACAGGCUAUAUGGCAAGCUUUCAAAUAAACUUGAGUUCCUAAAAGUGGGAAAAGGGGCAACAGUGACUGGCUGAUUUUGCAUCCGGAUGUUGCAGGGCAGUUUUCUGCAAUUCCUAGUUCUGGCACACGCAAGUACGUGUUUGCCAUUUGGUCCAAAAGAAUGAAUGAAGCGUGUUUCCUGUGUUUACAGAGACUGAUUCUUUUGUCCUGGCCAAUACCUAUGUUCAUUUGUACAAUAUAAAAAGUUACACUUUCCUCGACAAUAUAAAAAUGAACGUAUACACAAAACUAAAUGGUAGUUCCAAAACUAAUACUAAAUCAAACCAUGAUUUGACCUUGCUUGCUUUUAUUCUGAUAACUUUUACAAAACAUCUAAACUGUAUAUAAACCCUUGAGUGAUGACUGAGACUAAGGUGCGCAUUAUUCUCUGGGGAGAAAUAUAGGGUAGACUGCCUGGCUUCCUAAAUCUUUUAAAACCUGUGAAAAUAGAAUGUUCCUUUUUUGGUUAUCUCAUGAAUUAUCUACCUCAUUUUGAUGGAAAAAAUUCUGUUCUAUUGAGAAGACCUCUGCAGGAAACAUAGCCCACUGAGUGGUCACUAACUUGGCUGAAGAAUCACUCACCAGGAAGACACUUCAUGUGACAGUAAAAAGCAAGGAGGCACUCUACCUUCCUAAACUGUGGCCAGACUGUCUUGCCCAGUUAACGUAAAUCCUGGGCUUGGCACUUGCCACUCUGUUCCCUUCUUCUUGGUGAAAACAGUUAUGGUUUGGUCAAGCCUAGAAAGGAAGCAAAUCUAGGCAAGGAUUGGUAGGAGGGUACCCCAUAGGAUCUGUAACAGAAAAAGUCACUUAAAUCCCUCAAUUUCAAAUAUUUCAAAAGUGAGAUUUCUAUAUGGUAUAUAUCAUAUUAAAUACAAUUCACUUUAUAUAUUACAGAAUAAAAUGCUAAAUUUUAACUUGAUGGUAUUAUGCUUUGUUAGGAUUUCAUUGAUUUUUCCUAAAAAUGUUGAAUAAGGAGAAAAAUUAUGCAACAAAUUUUAUUUAGCAUAGUCAGUCCCAACAUUCAGCACAAAAAGUUUACAGAGGAUAGAAAGUGCAUUAAUAAAAGCCAGUCUUUACCAAAAGAAAACAGAAAAUAUAUUAUUGAUUCAAAAUAUUUUAUACUUGAAUGAUAAACUGCAAUAACUUAUUCUGGGCACCUACUGAUAAGAGAAAGAAAGAGAAGAAAAGAACGCUUUAAGAAGAGUCAAUCUCCAGCUGCUAUCAGAAGUCAGUAGAGGUCACUGAGACCGGCAGUCUUUCUUGCUUUUUGCAUUAGUGCCCUCAGCUGGAACUGCUUACGGGACAGAAGACGGACAUGCUGGGAGGGGGGAGAAAAAGUUUCAACAGUUUAGAACGGAUCUGACGAAAGGCAGGAAGCAUCAGACAGUUUGUAACCUAGAUGGGAUCUAAGAACCCUAAACUCGUAUCUCCUUUCUUUGGAACCGUAUUUCAUUAUAUGUAGCUUUUAAAAACUCUUCUUAAACUAGAUUGACGCUGGCAGGUUGUGUUAAGGAAAUCCCCUUCUGAGAUUGU